GACGAACCGUGCAAACGUUGUUCGGAUUCACUGGGCUUAAAGGGCGCGUAGGCGGACCACCAAGUCGGGGGUGAAAUCUUUCAGCCUAACUGGAAAACAGCUUCCGAUACUGGUGGCCUGGAGGGAGGUAGGGGUGCGUGGAACUCAGGGUGGAGCGGUGAAAUGCGUAGAUAUCCCGAGGAACGCCGGUGGCGAAAGCGACGCACUGGACCUUGCCUGACGCUGAGGCGCGAAAGCCAGGGGAGCAAACGGG
rnacentral:rRNA from 1 species